rnacentral:rRNA from 1 species
GACGAACGCUGGCGGCGCGCCUAACACAUGCAAGUCGAACGAGCGAGAGAGAGCUUGCUUUCUCGAGCGAGUGGCGAACGGGUGAGUAACGCGUGAGGAACCUGCCUCAAAGAGGGGGACAACAGUUGGAAACGACUGCUAAUACCGCAUAAGCCCACAGGUCGGCAUCGACCAGAGGGAAAAGGAGCAAUCCGCUUUGAGAUGGCCUCGCGUCCGAUUAGCUAGUUGGUGAGGUAAUGGCCCACCAAGGCGACGAUCGGUAGCCGGACUGAGAGGUUGAACGGCCACAUUGGGACUGAGACACGGCCCAGACUCCUACGGGAGGCAGCAGUGGGGAAUAUUGCACAAUGGGGGAAACCCUGAUGCAGCGACGCCGCGUGGAGGAAGAAGGUCUUCGGAUUGUAAACUCCUGUUGUUGAGGAAGAUAAUGACGGUACU